AACGGGGCUUCGGCCCCCGGAUCAGUGGCGAACGGGUGCGUAACACGUGGGCAACCUGCCCCUCACUCUGGGAUAACCCCGGGAAACCGGAGCUAAUACCGGAUACUCUCGGCCGGCCGCAUGGUCAGUCGAGGAAAGGUCCGCCGGUGAGGGAUGGGCCCGCGGCCUAUCAGCUUGUUGGUGGGGUAACGGCCUACCAAGGCUUCGACGGGUAGCCGGUCUGAGAGGACGGCCAGCCACACUGGGACUGAGAUACGGCCCAGACUCCUACGGGAGGCAGCAGUGGGGAAUCUUGCGCAAUGGGCGAAAGCCUGACGCAGCGACACCGCGUGAGGGAUGAAGGCCUUCGGG
rnacentral:rRNA from 1 species